rnacentral:rRNA from 1 species
AUGAAAGAAGAAAUCAUCUAUCUAGACAGAAUCGAGGACCCCCAUCUAAGCCAUAGGAAAGAAAGCCACUGGAGUGCGACGCUCAAAGCAAAAAGCAUACUCGGUAGAAAGGAGGUGGUGGAGCUGGGAAGAAGAUUAUACUUUAUCGAUUACUUGGACUUAGAGACCAAUUAUAGAAAGAAGACAGUAGCUGAGAAAAAUCCUGAUGUUGGUAAAAUAUACGUGUUGAUCAAGGACAAUGAAGCAGCCAUGAAAAGAUUGAAGAACGAGGUAGAAGAUACUGAGUUGUUCAGAUGUUUACAGGAAAUCCAUGGGAAAAACUACCACAGCUUUGUAUUAAGCAAGCAGGUUCCAGUCAUUGGUAAUUCCAGGGAAGCCUACAUUGGCAUUGCUCCUGAGUUAGCCAAAGAGAUCGCGGAAGAAGUGGAUGUUAUCGUAAACUCUGCAGCAAAUACCACUUUUGAUGAGAGGUUCGUGAAGCUAUACUAG